rnacentral:rRNA from 1 species
CCCUUAGAUGUUCUGGGCUGCACACGUGCUACACUGGCAGGUUCAGCGAGCUUCAUGCCCUGAUCUGAAAGGAAUGGGAAAUCUUUUCAAAACCUGCCGUGCUUGGGAUAGAUGUUUGCAAUUAUUCAUCUUCAACGAGGAUUGCCUUGUAAGCGCACGUCAUCAGCGUGCAUUGAAUACGACCCUGUAUUCUGUACAUACCGCCCGUCGCUCCUACCGAUUGAAGUUUUCGGUGAGUUGACAGGAGGAUUUUUUUGAAACUGGUUCGCCAGUGGAUUUUAGAUCCAAAUGCCAACGAAUCGAUGGCUUUAGAGGAAGGAGAAGUCGUAACA